AGUGAACGCUGGCGGCAGGCCUAAUACAUGCAAGUCGAACGGCAGCACAGCAGAGCUUGCUCUGUGGGUGGCGAGUGGCGGACGGGUGAGGAAUACAUGGGAAUCUGCCCAGUCGUGGGGGAUAACGUAGGGAAACUUACGCUAAUACCGCAUGCGCCCUUCGGGGGAAAGCCGGGGACCUUCGGGCCUGGCGCGAUUGGAUGAGCCCAUGUCGGAUUAGCUAGUUGGUGGGGUAAAGGCCCACCAAGGCGACGAUCCGUAGCUGGUCUGAGGGGAUGAUCAGCCACACUGGAACUGCGACACGGUCCAGACUCCUACGGGAGGCAGCAGUAGGGAAUAUUGAACAAUGGGCGCAAGCCUGAUCCAGCCAUGCCGCGUGAGUGAAGAAGGCCUUCGGGUUGUAAAGCUCUUUUGUCCGGAAAGAAAAGCAUCCAGUUAAUACCUGGGUGUCCUGACGGUACCGGAAGAAUAAGCACCGGCUAACUUCGUGCCAGCCGCCGCCGUAAUAC
rnacentral:rRNA from 1 species